CUCCACCCCCGCUUUGCUGCUUCUGGCUCCAACCAGUGCGUGCAUGACCAUCACUUGGAUAGGGGCUCAGGGCUCCUCUUUCCAGAAACCCUCAUGUUGAGAGCAGCAUAAACCAGUGGUUAAAAGCAGGGGCUCUAGAGUCCACCCAGCCAGGUUCCAGCCUAGAUUCUGUGCCCCAGUAGCUGUGUGACAUUGGCCAAGUUGUUCAACCUGUCUGAGCCCCGGCUCUGAAAAGAGGGGAUAGUGCUUUUCUUAUAGGCCUGUUGUGACAAGUAAAUGCUGUAAAUAGGGUCCCUGGUAAUUGAUAUUAUUAGGGUGCCACCAAGGUGGGGUGCUAGG
rnacentral:lncRNA from 1 species